rnacentral:rRNA from 1 species
CAGCCGCCGCGGUAAUACGAAGGGUGCAAGCGUUACUCGGAAUUACUGGGCGUAAAGCGUGCGUAGGUGGUGGUUUAAGUCCGUUGUGAAAGCCCUGGGCUCAACCUGGGAAUUGCAGUGGAUACUGGGUCACUAGAGUGUGGUAGAGGAUAGUGGAAUUUCCGGUGUAGCAGUGAAAUGCGUAGAGAUCGGAAGGAACAUCUGUGGCGAAGGCGACUAUCUGGGCCAACACUGACACUGAGGCACGAAAGCGUGUGGAGCAAACAGGAUUAGAUACCCCUGUAGUCCCUGUCUCUUAUAC